GUGUGUGUGUGAGAGAGAGAGAGAGAGAGAGAGAGAGAGAGAGAGAGUAUGAAUCAUGGGCUCACAUCUCCUCUCCAUCGCAGUAGUGAUAAUAGAUCAUACGGAGCAGCUCUCCUGCUUGUGAUGUGAUGUGGAUGUAGGAGAAAAUAGGAACUAUUUACUGAAGCGCUUUAAAGAAACAGAGAUCUUCCUCCUUCAUCAUCUGAAUCAUCUUCAUCAUGUCACUGAAGUCAGACAGAGUGCAGAAGAAAUGGGCGGUAGUGAAAAGUCACCUGGGCUCAUCUCAGGACUCAGACUCGAGCACACAGGAGGCCAACCUAGAGAAUGCUGAACCUGAGCUGUGCAUCCGCCUGCUGCAGGUACCCACCGUGGUCAACUACUCUGGCCUGAAAAAGCGACUGGAGGGCAGUGAUCAGGCAUGGAUGGUACAGUUUCUCGAAUUGUCAGGCCUCGACCUCUUGUUGGAGGCCCUGGAUCGUCUCUCAGGUCGGGGUUGCUCGCGCAUAACCGACGCACUGCUCCAGCUCACCUGCGUCAACUGUGUCAAGGCUGUAAUGAACUCAUCCAUAGGGAUCCAUUUCAUCAUGGAAAAUGAGGGUUAUGUGCGUAAGCUCUCACAAGCUCUGGAUACAUCUAACAUCAUGGUAAAGAAGCAGGUGUUUGAGCUACUGGCUGCUCUCAGCAUGUUUGCUGCAGAAGGGUACAGAUUGGCCCUGGACUCUCUGGACCACUAUAAGGCUGUAAAGAUGCAGCAGUACCGCUUCAGUGUGAUCAUGAAUGAACUGCAGAACACAGAUAACGUACACUACAUGGUGACUCUGCUGAGCUUCAUCAACGCGCUCAUCUUCAGCAUUGAAGAUCUGCGCCAAAGGGACAAGAUGCGCAAAGAAUUCAUCGGUUUACAGCUGCUUGACCUCCUACCGAAGCUGAGGGAGGAGGAGGAUGAAGACUUGAUCAUCCAGUGUGAGGCAUUUGAGGAAGCCAUGGCUGAAGAUGAUGAGGAACUGUUAAGGCUUUAUGGAGGCAUUGAUAUGAGCAAUCACCAGGAAGUCUUCAUCACUCUAUUUAACAAAGUGAGUAGCUCCCCUGCAUCACUUCAGCUGCUAUCCAUCCUCCAGACUCUGUUGGUGUUGGGACCAGAGCGGGCAGACAUCUGGCAGGCCUUGGAGGCACUAACCAAUCGUGCUGUCCUCCUGGCCCAGAACUCUCAAAUGGAGUCCUGUGAGACGAUCAUGCAGCGACUUGCUGUUUCCAAAGAUUCAUCCACCGGUUCUCAUUAUGUAGAUGCUCCACCUACUAAGAAAGCAGAGAAAGCAAUUCAGACCGAGCUGAUUAAUGGGGUGAAAGAAUCUUUAGAAAUUAUAUCCAAGGCCAACGAGGCAAUGCCUCUCAGCUCCAAAGAGAAGCCCUGCACCACCCAGCCUGCUCCUCCUUCUUCAAUCCCACCUCCACCAUCAUCUAUACCAAGCUUUGUGGGUAUUCCUCCACCACCACCACCACCACCUAUACUAGGGUUUGGUGGUGUUCCUCCUCCACCUUUACCAGGCAUUGGUGCUCUUCCACCUCCUCCUCCACCUUUACCAGGCAUGGGUGCUCCUCCACCUCCUCCUCCACCUUUACCAGGCAUGGGUGCUUUUCCACCUCCUCCUCCACCUUUACCAGGCAUGGGUGCUCCUCCACCUCCUCCUCCACCUUUACCAGGCAUGGGUGCUCCUCCUCCUCCACCUUUGCCUGGCAUGGGAAUGCCACCACCGCCUCCACCCUUCCCAGGGAUGGUACCUCCUUGCCCACCUCCUAUGGGGGGAGAUAUAAUAGUAGCCCAAAAUGUUCAGUUUUUGGGAAGAUCUUACAGCAUGCCAUUGAAGACUGGUCCAUAUCCUACGCUUAGGAUGAAGAAGCUCAACUGGCAGAAGCUAAACUCCAGAGCGGUCACUGAUGGUUGCAAUAUAUGGGCCUCAGAACAAAUCAGUUCCGCUGUGGAACCAGACUACACCAGCAUUGAGCAACUCUUCAGUCUCCCAGUGACUGAGCCCAAAGAGAAGGGCCCAGCUGCUCCUGCCAAGAAAGAACUCAAAGAAAUUUCCUUUAUUGAUCCCAAGAAGAAUUUGAAUCUAAAUAUCUUUCUCAAACAAUUCAAAUGCUCUAAUGAGGAGUUUGUGGGCAUGAUUCAGAAAGGGGAUCGUUCCAAGUUUGACGUUGAGGUGUUAAAACAGCUACUGAAGCUCCUUCCAGAGAAGCAUGAGAUCGACAACUUGAACUCUUUUCAAGGAGAGCGAGACAAGCUUGCCAACGUCGACAAGUUUUACCUUUCACUCCUCGCUGUUCCCUGCUAUCAACUGAGGAUUGACUGCAUGUUGUUGUGUGAGGAGACUUCGUCUGUGCUAGAGAUUCUGAAGCCCAAAGCACAGCUGGUGGACGAGGCGUGUAAGAGUCUCAGACAGAGCACACUGCUGCCCAGUUUCUGCAGGUUAAUCCUACGAGUUGGAAACUUCCUCAACUAUGGAAGUCAUACAGGAAAUGCUGAAGGAUUCAAGAUUAGCUCAUUGCUGAAGCUGACAGAAACCAAAGCCAACAAGGGCCGUAUCACUCUGUUACACCACAUCCUCGAGGAAGCAGAGUUGAACCACCCUGAGCUUCUGAACCUUCCUGAAGACAUUGAAAGCUGUGAAAGAGCUGCAGGAAUAAACCUAGAUUGCAUUCAAGCCGAGGCAAAUGCGCUGUCCAAGCGCUUAAGGGACACUGAGAAAAAAGUCUCUUCAUCAGUUCAGGAUCUACAAGAUCAAUUUUUAAGUAUUAUAAAGGAGAACCUUCAUUCAUGUAACGAUUUGGAGGAUAGUUUUGCUGAAAUUGAGAAGAACAAAGAAGCUCUGGCUCAGUACCUAUGUGAGGAUGCUGCUCAGCUGUCACUAGAGGAACUCUUUAGCACCAUCAAGACCUUCCGAGGGCUUUUCCUCAAAGCAUUAAAGGAGAACAAGAUCCGCAAGGAGCAAGCUGCCAAAGCGGAGAAGAGGAAAAAGCAGCUGGCAGAGGAGGAGUCCAAGCGACAGAAAGGAGAGAACGGCAAGAUCAUUAGAAGAGGUGCUGUGCCUCAGGAGGAUGGCUGCAUCAUUGACAACCUUCUGGCUGACAUCAGAAAAGGUUUCCAGCUUAGAAAGACCAGGCCAAGGUGCGAAACGGAAAGUGCCCCCUCUAGUGAAAUGCAUAGGGACACCGCACCAAGUGUCAAAUGUGCAGAAGGAGAAGCCACAUCAGGUGUAGCUCAGGACCUCCCUCAUCCUCACUCAGAGGAGACAAGCGUCGAAGAACCAGUCAGCGCUUCCUCCACCAGCCCCAGAGGAGAUGCAGCAGCCACAGUAACUGGUAAAGAAGCUCCACUCAAACAUCAACAGACCCAACUAGUCAUCUCGGAUGAAAACACCCUGUCUAACCAUACAGCUACACCAAUGAAGCCUUCAGCAGAGCUUCCUCCAGUUCAGGAUUACAUAAAAGAUCACAAAGAAGCACAAACUCUUCCAACUGAAAUCCUUGUUGAGAAAAAAUCUUCCAUUGAGACUUCUGUGGACACACCAUUCUCUAUAGUGCCUCCAUCUACUGUGAACCCAUCUGCAGGAAAAGAUGGCACACAACGUAACUGUAACUCUAAUAAUAGCCAAGUCAAUGAUCAUCAAUCUUCUAUUGAGACCACAUUAAAAAACAUGACAAAUGUCAACUCUGGUGCUCAUACUGACUCGAAUGUGAAUGGAAAUGGCACGGUCACUGAUGACCUGGUGCUUAAAAGCCAAGAACAGAAUGCGAAGAGAGACUCAAGCAAAACUCAAAUAGAAUCUAGCAGCACCACUGAGACUUCUGUCGCAGGAAACAGUAACAGAAAUACAGAGACAGCGUGUGAACCUGAUGUGCCUGACGGAGCGCAUGCUGUGGAUGGCUCUGCCCCCUCUAAUCCUCCCGUCUCUCAGCCGAAAUCACACAAACUACUUCGAGGACGUAAAAAAAGUAAUAAAGAAGCUGAGGGUAACAGCGAGGGAGACAGUAGGCAUAAAAAGACCUGUGUGUUGCAGUAAGGUAGGUCACGUCGCUGGAUACCUAACUAACAAGGCUUAAAGGGAGGAGCGUAAAACCCCGUCUACAAUAACAAAAUCCGUGUGUCCGUGUGCGUUUUAACACAAUUGUCCUACUUCAUUAACCUUUUGUGUCUGUGGAAAUAAGGGUAAUCAACUUGUUCUAACCUUUUCAAAGCCUCUCUGGACUUUUUUGCCUGCUGAUAUCUGAAGGAGCUGCAAGAGAUAAUGCACACAUUUCUGAGGAGACCCAAGAAAGGGAAACCACGAGGGAAGAGAUGAAGCCUUAAUUGUAUAAGUGUAUUCAAGAUCAACUUUUAAAGCUCCCUUUAACAGCUCUUUCACGCAUAACACAGGGAAACCAAGGGCUGAUCACACAGAGCACAAAACUUUGGUGUGUGCCGACGGACCCCGUUCUGAUAUUUUAAAGAAGAAAAAAAAAAUUAUUAUAAAAAAUAUUACUUUUUGAAACCGCUUACUUUUGCUCUGUAGAGUUGAAUGUGGCCAAAUAUUUCUGUAGUUUGUGCACUAUAUUAUGAUAAGCCAGAUUGUUUACAUAUAGAUAAAUAUAUCUGGGAGCAAUGGACAAAAAAUCUAAAUGAUUUCUGUAUAUUGGAAUUAUGUGUAUUUAGCAGUAAUAGUGUAAGAUGGUCCAUUGUUCCAGAUCUGAAUCAAAAUUGUGCUGUAAUAUUUUAAUGUAGAUAUAGUUCUGAGUGAAUGUACAGUAUCUGUUUAAGGGGACAGAAAGUAUUCUAUGAUGUGGUUUGUUAUAGCAAUAUAACCAUCUCUUAGAGCACAAACUAAUCAUUUUGAAUUGCUCUUUGGAGUUAAUAAGGUUGGCAGCUUGGCUUUAAAUCUCACUUAAUCAUGUGCAAACCUGCCUGGAAAACUGGUCCCGUAUUUUAUUUGGCUGUCUUAGUAAUCAUAUAAAUGUUAUAUUUAUGACUGACUACUUAGGAUAGUGUAUGAUAAGACCUAAGAAAAAUAAUUUAGUUGAUAUCUAUCUCUUGCAAAGUUGUUAUUGAAAUAAAUACAGCUUGUUGAGUAUACUGUGGUUGGUGUAAUUUACAUUAACUGUUCUGGAUGGACACUUAAUUUAACCAACUAACAGUCAGCAUAAGACAAUAUUAAGUUCUUGCACACUGUUGGUCAAUUUCAAGAUUUUGUUUGUUUUUUUUUACUUGAUGCCAAAAUACAAUGGAUCAACAUUUAUCAAUGUGCUUUUAAUAAACUCAUGUCAAAUCCCAACAAUACUUCAACACGCAAUGAAAAAAUAAAUGUUGGUUCAGCUUUUUGACUAUUCUCUGAGAUGUGACAUUGUAUUAAUAUGAUGUAUUUUCUUUAAUAUAUCUGUACUUCCACUAAAUACCUUUUAUUAACAAACUUUAUGUAACUAUUUUUUAUAAUGGCCAUUUUGAUAAAGAUAUCAUUUAUGUUUUCAGUUCUUUGUGUUCAUUAUAAAGUAACUAAUAAUAGUUGGCUUCAUAAUCGAUGAGACGUAAGAGCUUAUGCACUGAACAUUUUGUGUGAUGCAUUAUUCACAAUAAAUACAGCUGAUGUACAACAA